GGACAUAUAGCUCAGCGGUAGAGCGGACGACUGCAGAUCGUCAGGUCGUUGGUUCAAUUCCGACUGUGUCCU
rnacentral:tRNA from 1 species